rnacentral:rRNA from 1 species
UAAUCUGGCUUAACGUCGGGGAUAACUACUGGAAACGGUGGCUAAUACCGGAUGUGCCGAGAGGUGAAAGGCUUGCUGCCUGAAGAUGAGCUCGCGUCUGAUUAUCUAGUAGGUGUGGGAAGAGCGCAGUUAGGCUAAUAUCAGUAGCUGGUCUGAGAGGAUGAUCAGCCACACUGGGACUGAGACACGGCCCAGACUCCUACGGGAGGCAGCAGUGGGGAAUUUUCCGCACUGGGCGAAAGCCUGACGGAGCAAUACCGCGUGAGGGAGGAAGGCUCUUGGGUUGUAAACCUCUUUUCUCGAGGAAUAAUUAUGAAGGUACUUGAGGAAUUAGCAUCUGCUAACUCCGUGCCAGCAGCCGCGGUAAUACUGAGGAUGCAAGCGUUAUCCGGAAUGAUUGGGCGUAAAGCGUCCGCAGGUGGCGAUGUAAGUCUGCUGUUAAAGAGUGAGGCUCAACCUCAUAAGAGCAGUGGAAACUACAUGGCUAGAGUGCGUUCGGGGUAGAGGGAAUUCCUGGUGUAGCGGUGAAAUGCGUACAGAUCAUGAAUAACACCGGUGGCGAAGGCGCUCUACUGGCCGCAACUGACGCUGAGGGACGAAAGCUAGGGGAGCG